rnacentral:tRNA from 4 species
GGGCCGUUAGCUCAGUUGGUAGAGCAUCUCACUUUUAAUGAGAGGGUCGAUGGUUCGAGUCCAUCACGGCUCA